ACUCCUACGGGAGGCAGCAGUGGGGAAUAUUGCACAAUGGGGAAACCCUGAUGCAGCCAUGCCGCGUGUGUGAAGAAGGCCUUCGGUUGUAAAGCACUUUCAGUAGGGAGGAAGGUAGUGUAGUUAACACCUGCACCUAUUUGACGUUACCUACAGAAGAAGCACCGGCUAACUCCGUGCCAGCAGCCGCGGUAAUACGGAGGGGUGCGAGCGUUAAUCGGAAUUACUGGGCGUAAAGCGCAUGCAUGCGGCCUGUUAAGUCCAGAUGUGAAAGCCCGGGGGCUUAACCUCGGAAUUGCAUUUGAAACUGGCAGGCUAGAGUCUUGUAGAGGGGGUAGGAAUUUCAGGUGUAGCGGUGAAAUGCGUAGAGAUCUGAAGGAAUACCAGUGGCGAAGGCGGCCCCUGGACAAAGACUGACGCUCAGAUGCGAAAGCUGGGGAGCAAACACGGAUUAGAUACCCUGGUAGCACA
rnacentral:rRNA from 1 species